CAAAUAGAGGAAAAGAAAUACAUUCUUUAUCAUAACUUUGAUACGCAUGCCAUUAUUGUUCGUAAAUAGAAAAAAAAGUAAUAACAUCCACAGCCACUGCUAUGCCAUAGCCUAUUCUUAUCAGCAAAGCUUAUAAGAAAUACUAGAACGAAUUAAUCAUAUUCAUCAUAAUUUAUCGAUAUUCAUAAUAAUAUAUAAAAGAAACGUAUCUUAAUUUCUAAACCCACAAAAAAAAAAACAGUGAUCGAAAAAUUAAGACAUUUAUGAAUGCUCAGUUUGACCUAACACGCACUGUCACACUGAGUCUCACACGCACCGAUGGUGAAUAGAAACGGGUAGGCUUGGUGUGUGCACUUUAUCAUCAAUCAUCGGCCUCAAGAAGCCUCUCACGGGACCUUUAGUACAAUGAACAUCACCGUGAAUAUUAGUGACAGUAAAGCUGAAAAUACCUUGUACUAUCUUUUAUGAUGGAAAAAGUAUUAAAGAUUGUGAGUAAACAUGAUGAAAAACGAAGGUGUGAUGCAGUGAUAGUGGAUAUAUUGAAGGUGAGUGAAAAUAUAGUGAACGAAGGUGAUGAAAAAUAGUGAUAUGGAAAAGAAAAUAUAGUGAAAAAAGAAAAUGUGAAAAUUGUACAGCGUGAAUGGGAAAAGAGAAUAGUGAAAAAAUAAAUGUAGAAGAUCGUUGUGAAAGAAAAAUAAUGAAGAUGAAAGAUAAAGAAAAGUCAAAUAGAAAGAAAUGAAAUGGAGAUGAUGCAAAUGGAAAAAGGGAGUACUGACUCAGAGGAUGUGACGGAAGAAGAAGAAGAAAGAGAAGGAGGAGGAGGAGGAGGAGGAGAAGGAGGGGAAAGAAGAGGAAGCUAUUGUUUACCUUCUUCUCACCUGCCUUACCUCAUUUACUGUUUACCUGUCAAAUUCUCCCUUUCCUCACCUGCCCCGUCUCACUGUUUGUUCCCGUCACACCAGCACCGGAAGGACCUAACUAGUGACACCUGGCGGACAAGAUAGCACUAAUGACAGGACCGUGAGAGUGAAAGGGUUAAGCUCACCUAUGAAAACACCCACACAGAUCCUGGUGGAGUGGGGCGCUCUCAUCGGAAAGGUGAGUACAAAAAGAAGAAAAAGUGAAGUAAGAG
rnacentral:lncRNA from 1 species